rnacentral:rRNA from 1 species
AAUGAACGUUGGCGGCAUGGAUUAGGCAUGCAAGUCGGGGGAAUCCCAGCAAUGGGGGAACCGGCGUAAGGGGCAGUAAGGCAUGGGUACCUACCUUGGGGUUCGGGAGAGCCAUCAGAGAUGGUGGGUAAUACCGGAUGACGUCGUGAGACCAAAGAUUUAUCGCCCUUAGAGGGGCCCAUGUGAUAUUAGCUAGUUGGUGGGGUAACGGCCCACCAAGGCGAAGAUGGCUAGCGGGUGUGAGAGCACGACCCGCGCCACUCGCACUGAGACACUGGCGAGACACCUACGGGUGGCUGCAGUCGAGGAUCUUCGGCAAUGAGCGCAAGCUUGACCGAGCGAUGCCGCGUGAGCGAUGAAGGCCUUCGGGUUGUAAAGCUCUUUAGUGGGGGAGAAAAGCCGCAAGGUGUGAUCUAUCCCAAAAAUAAGCACGGGCUAAGUUCGUGCCAGCCGCCGCAGUAA